GGGCUUGUACUGGUUUCGACGGGGGCUUUGAAGUUGGGGCAGCCAUCCGCGGACUCCUGGACCGCGUACCAACCGGGAACCUAAACAUAAACGCUGAAGAUAAUUUUGCGUUAGCAGCCUAAGCUGCUGCUCGUCAGCCCUUUUGCACUCACACUUAAGGAACCUGGCGUCGACUAUGUGAGAAACUUUACCGGGUAAGCUUUGCCCCGGUAGACGUAUCAUGAAGCUACUGAAGUUCUGAGCCUGUCGGCAGGCGCAGCGCGGAGGGAAUGUCAAACUACCGACUGUGAUGGGAGAUACCGCAAGGGAUAGGCUUUCGGACGCGGGUGCGAUUCCCGCCAGGUCCAUAA
rnacentral:tmRNA from 1 species